GCAUCGGUGGUUCAGUGGUAGAAUGCUCGCCUGGCACGCUGUCGGCCCGGCCGAUGCA
rnacentral:tRNA from 13 species